rnacentral:lncRNA from 1 species
AUGAUAAAUAAUGGAGGGGGCAUAUGAAUCAUGAUGAACGAAUGUGAAAUUUGAGGGAAUCGAAGUUUUGAAAUUGAAUUUGCAUGCUCUUCUUUAAAUCUUUAUUUUCUAACCAUAAAAACAAACCCACAACUUUUCUUUAAUGUGACCACCCCCACACCUUUUAUGAAAAUAAAUUAGAAUAUGUAUAUGGUAUUUGUAACA